GUCCAACCCUCUUUCUGGAGAUCUACCGUCCUGUGGGUUUUCAGUCCAACCCUCUUCCUGGAGAUCUGCCGUCCUGUGGGUUUUCAGUCCAACCCUCUUCCUGGAGAUCUACCGUCCUGUGGGUUUUCAGUCCAACCCUCUUCCUGGAGAUCUACCGUCCUGUGGGUUUUCAGUCCAACCCUCUUCCUGGAGAUCUACUGUCCUGUAGGUUAUCAGUCCAGCCCUCUUCCUGGAGAUCUACUGUCCUGUAGGUUAUCAGUCCAACCCUCUUCCUGGAGAUCUACCGUCCUGUAGGUUAUCAGUCCAACCCUCUUCCUGGAGAUCUACUGUCCUGUAGGUUAUCAGUCCAACCCUCUUCCUGGAGAUCUACUGUCCUGUAGGUU
rnacentral:lncRNA from 1 species